CCUCUCAGAUUGAACGCUGGCGGCAGGCUUAACACAUGCAAGUCGAGCGGAGUGAUGGUGCUUGCACUAUCACUUAGCGGCGGACGGGUGAGUAAUGCUUAGGAAUCUGCCUAUUAGUGGGGGACAACAUUUCGAAAGGAAUGCUAAUACCGCAUACGUCCUACGGGAGAAAGCAGGGGAUCUUCGGACCUUGCGCUAAUAGAUGAGCCUAAGUCGGAUUAGCUAGUUGGUGGGGUAAAGGCCUACCAAGGCGACGAUCUGUAGCGGGUCUGAGAGGAUGAUCCGCCACACUGGGACUGAGACACGGCCCAGACUCCUACGGGAGGCAGCAGUGGGGAAUAUUGGACAAUGGGCGCAAGCCUGAUCCAGCCAUGCCGCGUGUGUGAAGAAGGCCUUAUGGUUGUAAAGCACUUUAAGCGAGGAGGAGGCUACUGAAGUUAAUACCUUCAGAUAGUGGACGUUACUCGCAGAAUAAGCACCGGCUAACUCUGUGCCAGCAGCCGCGGUAAUACAGAGGGUGCAAGCGUUAAUCGGAUUUACUGGGCGUAAAGCGCGCGUAGGCGGCUAAUUAAGUCAAAUGUGAAAUCCCCGAGCUUAACUUGGGAAUUGCAUUCGAUACUGGUUAGCUAGAGUGUGGGAGAGGAUGGUAGAAUUCCAGGUGUAGCGGUGAAAUGCGUAGAGAUCUGGAGGAAUACCGAUGGCGAAGGCAGCCAUCUGGCCUAACACUGACGCUGAGGUGCGAAAGCAUGGGGAGCAAACAGGAUUAGAUACCCUGGUAGUCCAUGCCGUAAACGAUGUCUACUAGCCGUUGGGGCCUUUGAGGCUUUAGUGGCGCAGCUAACGCGAUAAGUAGACCGCCUGGGGAGUACGGUCGCAAGACUAAAACUCAAAUGAAUUGACGGGGGCCCGCACAAGCGGUGGAGCAUGUGGUUUAAUUCGAUGCAACGCGAAGAACCUUACCUGGCCUUGACAUAGUAAGAACUUUCCAGAGAUGGAUUGGUGCCUUCGGGAACUUACAUACAGGUGCUGCAUGGCUGUCGUCAGCUCGUGUCGUGAGAUGUUGGGUUAAGUCCCGCAACGAGCGCAACCCUUUUCCUUAUUUGCCAGCGAGUAAUGUCGGGAACUUUAAGGAUACUGCCAGUGACAAACUGGAGGAAGGCGGGGACGACGUCAAGUCAUCAUGGCCCUUACGGCCAGGGCUACACACGUGCUACAAUGGUCGGUACAAAGGGUUGCUACCUAGCGAUAGGAUGCUAAUCUCAAAAAGCCGAUCGUAGUCCGGAUUGGAGUCUGCAACUCGACUCCAUGAAGUCGGAAUCGCUAGUAAUCGCGGAUCAGAAUGCCGCGGUGAAUACGUUCCCGGGCCUUGUACACACCGCCCGUCACACCAUGGGGAGUUUGUUGCACCAGAAGUAGGUAGUCUAACCGCAAGGAGGACGCUUACCACGGUGUGGCCGAUGACUGGGGUGA
rnacentral:rRNA from 1 species